AUACAAUAUAGACACGUGUACUUGUUUAUCUUUCUCGGGUGACCGCGUUUGACCGUCUAACAAGUGUUAUCGCUCAGUGCCGGACGCGCCAGCAUGUAUCGGAAGUUCUUCGAAUGUUAUCGAUGAUUCCAGCCGCGUCUGUGACC
rnacentral:lncRNA from 1 species